rnacentral:rRNA from 1 species
ACGCACGCUGGCGGCGUGCUUCACACCUGCAAGUCGAACGGAAAGGCCCUGCUUUUGUGGGGUGCUCGAGUGGCGAACGGGUGAGUAACACGUGAGUAACCUGCCCUUGACUUUGGGAUAACUUCAGGAAACUGGGGCUAAUACCGGAUAGGAGCUCCUGCUGCAUGGUGGGGGUUGGAAAGUUUCGGCGGUUGGGGAUGGACUCGCGGCUUAUCAGCUUGUUGGUGGGGUAGUGGCUUACCAAGGCUUUGACGGGUAGCCGGCCUGAGAGGGUGACCGGCCACAUUGGGACUGAGAUACGGCCCAGACUCCUACGGGAGGCAGCAGUGGGGAAUAUUGCACAAUGGGCGGAAGCCUGAUGCAGCAACGCCGCGUGCGGGAUGACGGCCUUCGGGUUGUAAACCGCUUUCGCCUGUGACGAAGCGUGAGUGACGGUAAUGGGUAAAGAGGCACCGGCUAACUACGUG